rnacentral:sRNA from 1 species
GCCAGGCAUGGUGACCAUGCCUGUAAUCCCAGUGGCUUGGGAGGCUGAGGCAGGAGGAUUGCAAGUUCAAAGCUAGCCUCAGCAACUUAGCGAGUCCCUCAGCAACUUAGGGAGUCCCUAAGCAACUCAGCAAGACCCUGUUUCUA